rnacentral:rRNA from 1 species
AGUGAACGCUGGCGGUAGGCCUAACACAUGCAAGUCGAACGGCAGCACAGUAAGAGCUUGCUCUUACGGGUGGCGAGUGGCGGACGGGUGAGGAAUACAUCGGAAUCUACUUUUUCGUGGGGGAUAACGUAGGGAAACUUACGCUAAUACCGCAUACGACCUACGGGUGAAAGCAGGGGAUCUUCGGACCUUGCGCGAUUGAAUGCGCCGAUGUCGGAUUAGCUAGUUGGCGGGGUAAAGGCCCACCAAGGCGACGAUCCGUAGCUGGUCUGAGAGGAUGAUCAGCCACACUGGAACUGAGACACGGUCCAGACUCCUACGGGAGGCAGCAGUGGGGAAUAUUAGACAAUGGGCGCAAGCCUGAUCCAGCCAUACCGCGUGGGUGAAGAAGGCCUUCGGGUUGUAAAGCCCUUUUGUUGGGAAAGAAAAGCAGCAGGUUAAUACCCCGCUGUUCUGACGGUACCCAAAGAAUAAGCACCGGCUAACUUCGUG